AUAAGUUAAGCAGAAAAGAUGCUUACCUGUGAACUAAAAGCUGGUCAAGCAUAGGUAUCUUUGUGCUGGACUCCCUGUGUUUCCUAGAAUAUAAAAAGUAGCAAGUGGUAAGAGGAAGUGUUCAGCAUCAGACCUACAGAAGCCUGGGCUCAAGCCCCAGCCCUACCACUUCUGACUGGCUGGCUUUGACAAAAUGGCUGUCUGAACCUACCUCUCCUUGUCUGUAAAUGAAACAGUCAUCAUAAUCAUGUCUCGGCGCUAUGAAUCCAUCAUCCCAUUCAGUUCUCCCCACAUGCUGAAAGUAGGUAUUUUACUUACUGUUUGUUUGUUUGUUACUAUUGUUUUUACUCCUUUCUCAUUCUAUACAUAAGGAAAUGCCAAAGCAAGAAGAUGAACCACAGUACACAUAUUCACUAACCCAUGUGCCCGCUUCCAUCUAUAGAACCUGGGAUCCGAGGGAGACCCAUCCCAGCAGGGUUCAUGUGAAGGUUAGAUAAGAAAAUGUGUUUGAAGUGUCAAGAUGAUAUUAAUUAGAUCCCUUCUCAUGUUUUAAAAUAAAUGGUUGUGAAUAUCUCCAGGUAUCUGUAUUUCUUUAAAUCAUGUUUGAAUUAUAAGCCCUUUGUGUAAUGAUAAUGAUUAGUCAAUCAAGCUUAUGUUUAUACUCAGCUUUCUUUUUUUUUUUUCAUGGGGUGGGGGGAAAACUCAUCAUCAGAACCUGAGGCAGAGCCAAGCACCGCCCCCACCAGCCACAGCCGAGUAGUGGCUGAGAAAAGCCCUAGGAAGCAGGGAAGAGCCUUUGAAGUUCUGCUUUUGCAAAACAAACCUAUAAAAGCAUCCAGGGACUAGAGAACAUUCCAGAGGGGACCUGGAAGAGGGCAGAACUACAAGAUGAACAGGACCAAGACUGAUUCCAAAUCUUUGCUCUAGUUCGCAUUAGCUGUGCAAUCUUCAACCAAUGCCCAUACACUCUUGCAACCCUGUGGCAGAGAUUGUGUUUCUCAAACCAUUUCAUUUUCUCUGGGCAAACAGAAGUCAGCAGUGGUCCUGGGACUGAUCCUGGCCAAUGGGAUGUACAUGAACUGCCAAACUAUUUCUGAAAAGGAACGCACAUUUCUCAUGCCCUCCACAAUGUAUAAGAGUUCCAAUGUCUCUGAAGAAAAAUGAACCUGGACCACUUUCUUACACCAUACACAAAAAUAAACUCAAAAUAGAUGAAAGACCUAAACGUAAG